rnacentral:rRNA from 1 species
UACGGAGGGUGCUAGCGUUGUUCGGGAUCACUGGGCGUAAAGGGCGCGUAGGCGGCCCGCUAAGUCGAACGUGAAAUCCCCAGGCUCAACCUGGGAACUGCGUCCGAUACUGGCAGGCUUGAAUCCGGGAGAGGGAUGUGGAAUUCCAGGUGUAGCGGUGAAAUGCGUAGAUAUCUGGAGGAACACCGGUGGCGAAGGCGGCAUCCUGGACCGGUAUUGACGCUGAGGCGCGAAAGCUAGGGGAGCAAACGGG